CUUUAACACAUGGUUAACGAGAUUCACCUACCUGAUAAGAAUGAGUCACCUGCACUGCUUCCUUAACCAGAGCAGACUUCUGGGAUACAAGUUGCACAGAAGGAAAA